GACGAACGCUGGCGGCGUGCUUAACACAUGCAAGUCGAGCGGUAAGGCCCUUUCGGGGGUACACGAGCGGCGAACGGGUGAGUAACACGUGGGUGACCUGCCCUCAGCUCUGGGAUAAGCCUGGGAAACCGGGUCUAAUACUGGAUAUGACUCCAUGACGCAUGUUGUGGGGUGGAAAGCCUUGUGCGGCUGAGGAUGGGCCCGCGGCCUAUCAGCUUGUUGGUGGGGUGANGGCCUACCAAGGCGACGACGGGUAGCCGGCCUGAGAGGGCGACCGGCCACACUGGGACUGAGACACGGCCCAGGACUCCUACGGGAGGCAGCAGUGGGGAAUCUUGCGCAAUGGGCGAAAGCCUGACGCAGCGACGCCGCGU
rnacentral:rRNA from 1 species